CAACUCCUUAGGUUUUUGUCCAUAGACUCUUUUGUUUUCUCUUCUGAGUAUCCCAAGAGACUAGAGAUCCAUGUGCUUGGGAAACGCUGAGCUAACGCAUUCAUCGGAGAAGAGAAAAGCAAGGAGCUGUGGAUCAGUUUCACUCUGGAGUUGGGUGUUGAGCUUCAGGCCCUGGCUCUGCCUAGCCUUUUGCAACGUACUUAGUGUAAUAACUUACAGGAGACAACUGGAAAGAAAGAGGUCAAUCUUCAUGGUGCAAAAGGGUUGGAGGCCCCGUUCCUCAUCUGACAGUGGGCCUGGAUGGAUGGAGAAUAAUUGACAAUCCACACUGGGAGGUGCAGAUCAUAUUUUCUGCUUAGAGCAGAUUCCUUCCUGGGCAGACAUUGAGCACACAGCCAGCUGCAGUGGGCACCAGAGACAUUGCGUCCUUUCUACUCUUCAUGUCCUGAUCCCAGUGAUAAUCUUUGAGGCCCCAGUCGGUGGUUCUUUUUUUUUUUUUUUUUUUGAGAUGGAGUUUUGCUCUUUUGCCCAGGCUGGAGUGCAGUGGUGCGAUCUCAGCUCACUGCAACCUCCACCCACCAGGUUUAAGUGAUUCUCCUGCCUCAGCCUCCCGAGUACCUGGGAUUAUAGGCAUCUGCCAGCAUGUGCAGCUAAUUUUUGUAUUUUUGGUAGAGACAGGGUUUUGCCAUGUUGGCCAGGCUGGUCUCAAACUCCUGGCCUCAGGUGAUCCACCUGCCUCGGCCUCCCAAAGUGCUAGGAUUACAGGCAUGAGCCACCAUGCCUGGCCCAGUAAGUGGUUUUUAAUGAGGGUGAUUUUGCCCCCUUUGGGUACAUUUGGAAUGUCUGGAGACAUUUUUGAUGAUCAUGCCUGGGAGGUGGAUAGUGUUACCGGCAUCUAGUGAGCAGAGGCCAGGGAUGCUGCUAUAUAUCCUAGUAUAGGUACAAGCCCACUGCCACUCCCUAAUGAAGAAUUAUCUAGCUCAAAAUGUCAAAGGCACUUGAACCAGAGUGACUCCAUCUUGAAUAGGGACUCAGUAAAAUGAGGCUGAGACCUGCUGGGCUGUAUCCUCAGGAGGUUAUGCAUUUGUAGUCACAGGAUGAUAGGAGGUCACAAGAUACAGGUCACAAAGAUUCCACUGAUAAAACAGGAUGCAAUAAAGAAGUCUGCCAAAAUUUGCUAAAACCAAGAUGGCAGCAAAAGUGAUCUCUAGUCAUUCUCACUGCUCAUUAUAUGCUAAUUAUAAUGCAUUAACAUGCUAAAAGACACUCCUACCAGCACCAUGACAGUUUACAAAUGCCACAGCAACAUCCAGAAGUUACCCUAUAUGGCCUAAAAGGAAGAGGAACCCUUCAUUCUGGGAAAUCCCUGCCCCUUUCCUGGAAAACUCAUGAAUAAUCCACUACUUAUUUAGCAUAUAAUCAAGAAAUAACCAUAAAAUUAGCCAACCAGAAGCCCUCAGGGCUUUUCUGUCGAUGGAGUAGUCAUUCUUUUAUUCUUUUGCUUUCUUAAUAAACUUUCUUUCACUCUAGUCUGUGGACUUGCCCCAAAUUCUUUCUUGUGUGAGAUCCAAAACCCCUUUCUUGGGGUCUGGAUCAGGUCCCCUUUCUGGUAACAAAAAUGUCAAUAGUGCUAAGGUUGAGAAACCCUAAUUAAGGUAAUUAAAUAAUAGAUAAAAAAGACAUUCCUUUCAAUCCUACCUUCCAAAAAAUGCACACACACUCUCUCUUUCCUUCUCUUUCUCUUUCUAAGAUCACUUUGUAAGCUGAGAGAAUUAUGACAGAGACUGGAGCGACAGCAUUUUAUUUCACUGUAUCUCUGUCCUUUAACACCUCAGUGCUCCCAGCCCCAGGCCUCUUGUGUCCCAGCAUAAAAUCUGUGAGAUUUAAACAUAUACUAUGAGAUGCCUUAUAAAACAUACAGAAUAUGAUCUGACAAGGUCCUUUGACAAUGCCCUCUUUCGCACAAAAUCUUCAGGCAGUAAUUCAAUUUCGAGGCUUUUCUCCUAUUGAAAUACGGUGUGUGACACUACCCAGGCCCUGGACUGCAGCACAAUCUUCAGCACUGGGCAUUUUUUUUCCUGGGUAAUGGAUUUUAUUUCACCAAAAAUAAGCAUUAAAAGGCUUCCAAGGGGACACCAUUGUGCUUACUGAUUUUUUUUUUUCUUUGGAAAAUGUGAGAUGUUGCUGCAUAAUGACAAUAAUCAUUAACUUUAGGUUUAUUCUGGGGUUAAUGAAUUAUUAUAGUGCAGUGAAAAAUUAUUCUCCAAUAAAUGUUGAAUUCCAUUUUUUCUGAAACUUCUCUCUCUUUUUUUUAUAUGUUUGGUAUUUUUGUCUUUUCCAUUAAAG
rnacentral:lncRNA from 10 species